AUUUUUUUUUUUUUUUUUGUGCUGAAAUAUUUGAAAACAGUUGAAGCUUUUUACUGACUUUGCCCCUUCAUUUUGCUCAUCCGUUUUUUUUUUGUUUUUUUUCCAUUGACAUCAGUGUUCAUGUCCAGCUUGAGGGACUGUUUCAGAUGAUUUUGAUUUAAUUUAUACACUAUAGUAAUUUUAUAAGAUAUAUAUAUAUAGCCGUAAAUAACAAUAUACAUCAAAGAAGUAACUGUGCCAUUUGUUUUGUUAGUGCCCUGCAUAUACUUUUCAGCAAGCUUAUUGUAUGGUUCAAUCCAGUAUCUUUUUUUUUCAGUUGUUAAAGGUGUAGAUAUCUCAAGUUAUUUAUGAUAUAUCUUAGUUUUCAUUUAAUUUAACCAUUGCUUAGGUUUUUCCAUGAAUGAUCCAGGAGCUGUUCAUUCUAAUAGAUGACCAAGUUGCCAGGGAAUCUUAUGCCAAUGUACAUAUGUAUACGACGUCUGAUCAUUAGAUGUACUUAGUCAUUGUAGCUUUGUAAUAACCAAUGCAUAAACAAACAUGAAACAGUAUGGCCCAUUUGGAUUCACAGAAUAUGCUAAUGGGCAGUGUCUUCCUCAUUGGCAUCUUUUUUUUUUUCCUGUUCUUUUCAAAACCUAGUCUUGUUUUGUGGUUUGUUUUUUUGGUGAGAUUUUAGUUUUAAAUUUAACUUUUUUUUUUUAAAUUAGAUUUCCCCUCCCCCUUAAUCUUUUUACUUUUCUAUGUAUUUAUAGUCUUUCAUUGAGACUCCUCCUCCAAGCUAUGUCCUUCUGUCUCUCUUUGGUGGAGGGUAGGAUGCUUUGGCAUUAUUGCAGCUGGUGAAUGAAAAUGGACUUGAUACCUAUACAUAGGAUUCAUUGGUUUUGUGUGGAUGGAAGGCAGUGUGUGAUCCUGAUGUGAUAACUGGGGUGGGGGUGGGACUAAAAACCUCUUGUUUUGUUGUUGCCGAUGUAUUCCCAAGUGGUUGUCCAUUGUAAAUAUUAAUGUCUCAUAUUUCUUUGACACCUCCCCCCUCAGUUUUUUUUUUCCUUUUUUGUGGUUUGAAAGCCGCUGAAAUCUGAUGAGUGUUGCUGAUAGGAUCUUUCUUUUGUUCAGCGUCUGUUGAAGAUCACUUGUGAAAUACUCUUGUAUUUAUUGGUCUUAUCAAUAGAUAGAUAUCAUUCCUAUCAUCUCUCUGUAAGAGAAUGCAUGUCUUGUGUUUAUCUGUGUUGCAUCAUUCUGAAAUCAUUUAAAAGUAAAUUUGAUGUAAGUAAUUAUUUCAUUGACUAAUAAAUUUAUUAAAAAUCUCUGAGAUUAAAUUUGAAGCAGAUAUAAUUUUAAAUGUAGAUCUCAUUAAAAAAAAUGUUUAUUCAUUGUCUCAAUAAGGUUGCCAACUGUUUAGUUUUGUUUUAUCUUAGCUAUAAAGUAAAUAAAUUACUGAAUAACAUCUAUGGUCAUUUUUCAAAAGUUAAAAUUAUAAAUGUGCUCUUUUUUUUUCCCCCAUUCAGGUGAUUGUAAUUGCUUAAUCUUGCACCAAAUUGUAGUGGCUUGCUAAAUAUACAGGUUUCUUUCUAAAGUUGUAUCACACAUGACAGUGAUUGGGAAAAGUCACAUUAUUAUCUUUCUUUUUCCCCCUCAUCUUAUCACACAUCCACUUGCUUAUACAAAAAAUGCCAAAAAAAAAACCCAACUAAAACUGCAUGCCAUGUUUACUUGUAGUGACUCAGUAUCUAUUGUGUUAAUGGACCAUGUAAUUUUGUUGAACAAAGUCUCUGAAUGAAGGUUCUUUGUGAAGUGUCAUUUCAAACCUUUCGUUUUGGUUCUGUCUGAUGAGUGUAAAGUGCAAGCUGGGUUUUUCUCUCCUACUUGUGAUUAGAAUGUUGGUAAAAAAAAAUAAAUUGUAAAUUAUUUUUGUUUUGUUUUUAUGUAUAAUAUUUUUUAAUUUGACGACUGGUUGACAAUAAUGUAAGAUACUGAGUGAUGAGUAACGCUAUAUAAAUAUAUAUAUACAUAUAAAUAAAUUGAAUGCAUGUGCAUACUUAGUAUCCAGGAAUGUGUGAAAAAGUUGUUUUUUUUUCUCUAGUUACAAUAAACCUUGUUACAAUAAAUUUUAUAGGACAAAGGUUUGAUUUUUCUAAUUAUUCAAAGAUGGAUAACUAUGUAGCUAAACUUAAGAAGUUAAAGAUGAAUCAGAAAGGUGGAACUUUAAGGUGCACUGUGUAAAAAGUGAUAUAAAGUUUGCUAGAACAGGGAUUCACUGUAUUUUUAUUCAUAUUUGUAUAUUGUCCUGAUGCUGUUCUGUGCUAUUGAUUGAUCUAUUUAGUCAUUUGUGCUUAACUCUGUUAUAGCCAAGACUUGUAAUGUCUGCAAUACAGAUCAUUUCAGAAUCCAUUUGAAAGGAUGGUGGGGGCUGCUGUUGACUUUUGUAUUAUCACAUCAUUUCCAGGACAGUUUUUUUGUCUCUUGAUCUAGAAAUUUAAUUUACCAUUUAAAUAAAAGAUAGAAGAAAUAAUUGUUAAACCACACAAUUUGAGUCAAUUAGAAUUAAUUUUGGUGGUUGGGGUGGGUCAAGAUAUUUACAUAAUAAACAAUGUAAAGAAAAUGAGUGGAUUUUAAAUGUCAUUUUAGCAAAUAUUGCACCUCUCUGUGUAUUAAUUUCUUAUGAUAUUGAUAUGUUUUUGUUACAAUGUUCGCUUUUUGUAGGCUGAAUGAUUUGUGGAAAAAAAAACAACUUUCUUUUGUGGUUGCUUUUUUUUUUUUUUUUGGUCCUGGAUCAAAGAAAC